rnacentral:rRNA from 1 species
UACGUAGGGUGCAAGCGUUUGUCCGGAAUUAUUGGGCGUAAAGAGCUCGUAGGCGGUCUGUCGCGUCGGAUGUGGAAACCUCGGGGGCUCAACCCCCGAGCCUGCAUUCGAUACGGGGCAGACUAGAGUGAUGUAGGGGGAGACUGGAAUUCCUGGUGUAGCGGUGAAAAUGCGCAGAUAUCAGGAGGAACACCGGUGGCGAAGGCGG